AACAAACGCUGGCGGCGUGCCUAAUACAUGCAAGUCGAACGGGGAAAGCUUUCGGGUGAGUACCAGUGGCGCACGGGGGAGUAACGCGUGGAUAAUCUGCCUUAGAGUGGGGGAUAACUAGUCGAAAGAUUAGCUAAUACCGCAUAAGACCACAAGAACUGCGGUUCAAGGGGUCAAAGGUUUUUCGCUCUAAGAUGAGUCCGCGUAAGAUUAGCUAGUUGGUAGGUUAACGGCCUACCAAGGCGACGAUCUUUAACUGGUCUGAGAGGAUGAUCAGUCCCACUGGAACUGAGACACGGUCCAGACUCCUACGGGAGGCAGCAGUAGGGAAUAUUGCACAAUGGAGGAAACUCUGAUGCAGCGACGCCGCGUGAGUGAUGAAGGCCUUCGGGUCGUAAAGCUCUGUCGCAGGGGAAUAACACAAUGAAGGUACCCUGUAAGAAAGGAUCGGCUAACUUCGUGCCAGCCGCCGCAGUAAAAC
rnacentral:rRNA from 1 species